rnacentral:lncRNA from 1 species
CCUCAGAGCCGCAGAGGGAACCGCCACCACCGGAUCCAUCGGCGCUGCCCAACGGGACGGAGCCCCCGGGAGCCGGGCUGACCGAGCAGCCCAUCGAGGUGCAGCUGCAGCGGGAGCUGGAGCAGCUGAGCGCCGAGCUGGACCAGGAGCUGCGCGCCAUGGAGACGCGGCCACAGCGGGUACCGGGCGGGGGGCAGCGCCGGGGGGGGG